UGAUCCAGCCAUGCCGCGUGUGUGAAGAAGGCCUUUUGGUUGUAAAGCACUUUAAGCAGUGAAGAAGACUCCAUGGUUAAUACCCAUGGACGAUGACAUUAGCUGCAGAAUAAGCACCGGCUAACUCUGUGCCAGCAGCCGCGGUAAUACAGAGGGUGCAAGCGUUAAUCGGAAUUACUGGGCGUAAAGCGAGCGUAGGUGGCUUGAUAAGUCAGAUGUGAAAGCCCCGGGCUUAACCUGGGAACGGCAUCUGAUACUGUUAGGCUAGAGUAGGUGAGAGGAAGGUAGAAUUCCAGGUGUAGCGGUGAAAUGCGUAGAGAUCUGGAGGAAUACCGAUGGCGAAGGCAGCCUUCUGGCAUCAUACUGACACUGAGGUUCGAAAGCGUGGGUAGCAAACAGGAUUAGAUACCCUGGUAGUCCACGCCGUAAACGAUGUCUACUAGUCGUUGGGUCCCUUGAGGACUUAGUGACGCAGCUAACGCAAUAAGUAGACCGCCUGGGGAGUACGGCCGCAAGGUUAAAACUCAAAUGAAUUGACGGGGGCCCGCACAAGCGGUGGAGCAUGUGGUUUAAUUCGAUGCAACGCGAAGAACCUUACCUGGUCUUGACAUAUCUAGAAUCCUGCAGAGAUGCGGGAGUGCCUUCGGGAAUUAGAAUACAGGUGCUGCAUGGCUGUCGUCAGCUCGUGUCGUGAGAUGUUGGGUUAAGUCCCGCAACGAGCGCAACCCUUGUCCUUAGUUACCAGCGGUUUGGCCGGGAACUCUAAAGAUACUGCCAGUGACAAACUGGAGGAAGGCGGGGACGACGUCAAGUCAUCAUGGCCCUUACGACCAGGGCUACACACGUGCUACAAUGGU
rnacentral:rRNA from 1 species